UCGGGAAUUUUGGGCAAUGGGCGAAAGCCUGACCCAGCAACGCCGCGUGAGGGAUGAAGUAUUUCGGUAUGUAAACCUCGAAAGAAUGGGAAGAAUAAAUGACGGUACCAUUUAUAAGCUCCGGCUAACCACGUGCCAGCAGCCGCGGUAAUACGUAGGGAGCAAGCGUUGUUCGGAUUUACUGGGCGUAAAGGGCGCGUAGGCGGCGCGGUAAGUCACUUGUGAAAUCUCUGAGCUUAACUCAGAACGGCCAAGUGAUACUGCUGUGCUAGAGUGCGGAAGAGGCAACCGGAAUUCUUGGUGUAGCGGUGAAAUGCGUAGAUAUCAAGGGGAACACCGGAGACGAAGGCGGGUUGCUGGGCCGACACUGACGCUGAUGCGCGAAAGCCAGGGGA
rnacentral:rRNA from 1 species